AUAAGGAAAAAAAAAAGGAUAAAACCUCCAAAACUGUGGGCCUGCCAUAUCCCUUCUUGCUCAAGCAGCAAAACCAAGUGGGAAUGUCUGGGUUAUUUCUGAAUUCCACUGAUGUGGCCCUCCUUCAUGAAAGCAGCAGGAUGAUGUCACGUUCAGCAGUUCAGGAGAGGAUCAGUGCAUGCUGCAUCCAGCUCAGCGCACCCCAGAGUCAGCUCUCAAAUGCUGAAUGGAUCAUGGCAGAUCUUGAAGUGCAGAGAUGCUUGUGGGGGUCGUGUCAGGGAAAGAACACGGAGCCCUGGGCUGGUGCCUGUGGAAGGAAUCUGGAUCAACUGCUGGAAGAUCAUUGCCCAGAAGCAAUUGAGAAUCCCACCAGCAAACUGGGAGCAGAUUUAUAAUGGUGAUCCCAUUGCAGAUCCUUCUGAAAUCUCCCAUUGUCCCCAGACCACAAAAUACUUCUUUAAUCCUUUGUGUAAACCACAAAAGCUCAUUUACCAAACAGAUGAUGAUGAGGCAAGAUCUGAAGAAUUGCACCUGCAGUGGGAUGAGUUUCCUAAAGGACUUUGUUCUGCACAGCUGGAAGCAUUGGAGGGAGCUGCUUCAUGGCAAGGUGAAGUCAGGAUGGAGGCUCACAUGAAGAAGGAAGGACUUUCAUACCAGGAAUCUGAUAAAGGUCACACAUUAAAAUUAAAUCCCCACAUUCUGGUGACAGCCUGA
rnacentral:lncRNA from 1 species